CUUUCUUUCACCGAAUGCUUGCAUUCACCGAAAGAAGCUUAGUGGCGAAAGCGGGUGAGUAACACGUAGGCAACCUUGAGGCCCAAAAGAGGGGGAUAACACUUGGAAACAGGUGCCCUAAUACCGCAUAACCAUGAACACCGCAUGAUGUUCAUGUAAAAGACGGCUUUUGCUGUCACUUUUGGAUGGGCCUGCGGCGUAUUAACUUGUUGGUGGGGUAACGAGCCUAAAACUCCAAGGUGAUGAUACGUAGCCGAACUGAGAGGUUGAUCGGCCACAUUGGGACUGAGACACGGCCCAAACUCCUACGGGAUCUUGGCAGCAGUAGGGAAUCUUCCACAAUGGACGAAAGUCUGAUGGACGCAACGCCGCGUGAAUGAAGAAGGCCUUCGGGUCGUAAAAUUCUGUUGUCAGAGAAGAACGUGCGAUGAGAGUAACUGUUCACGUCAAUUGACGGUAUCUGACCAGAAAGCCACGGCUAACUACGUGCCAGCAGCCGCGGUAAUACGUAGGUGGCGAGCGUUGUCCGGAUUUAUUGGGCGUAAAGGGAACGCAGGCGGUCUUUUAAGUCUGAUGUGAAAGCCUUCGGCUUAACCGAAGUAGUGCAUUGGAAACUGGAAGACGUUUUGAGUGCAGAAGAGGAGAGUGGAACUCUCAUGUGUAGCGGUGAAAUGCGUAGAUAUCAUGGAAGAACACGCAGUGGCGAAAGCGGCUCUCUGGUCUGUAACUGACGCUGAUCGGUUCGAAAGCGUGGGUAGCAAACAGGAUUAGUGGGGUAACCUU
rnacentral:rRNA from 2 species